rnacentral:rRNA from 1 species
GACGAACCGAGCGAACGUUGUUCGGAAUCACUGGGCUUAAAGGGCGCGUAGGCGGGUGCUCAAGUCCGUGGUGAAAUCCUCCGGCUCAACCGGAGAACUGCCUCGGAUACUGGGUGCCUCGAGGGUGGUAGGGGUAUGCGGAACUAUCGGUGGAGCGGUGAAAUGCGUUGAUAUCGGAAGGAACGCCGGUGGCGAAAGCGCACGACUGGUCCUCUUCUGACGCUGAGGCGCGAAAGCCAGGGGAGCAAACGGG